UGUGCAUCACCGGCUGGCAUCAUCACAGAGAAGCCCACCUGCCCCAGGAGCCUGCUGACCAGAGGGGAAGGUUGAAAUGUCCUCACCAACACAAAGGCUUCUCCUAGGGUCUGGGUUUGUGGGAUCCGCCCCACAUCAGCUCACUGCUUUGCCAGUGCCCAUGUCCUGCUCCUCCCAGAGCCUCGUUGCUAGGCAGUGGCCAUAAGAAGAAACUUCACCUGGACUGGAGUCAGAAGACCUGUGCUCAGGGUGACAGUACGGAGCUCCCAGAUGUAGGACUGCAUGCCAGGAGCCGGUGUGUGGGAAGCUUCCCUCUUCGCUUUCACUUUCUCAUCCAGCCAUUUAUCGUCACAGCAGACCACAAGCAGGCCUGGUCCCCAGUGUCACAGAUGAAGAAUCAGAGGUCUCAGAGGCCCCUCGUUUGGGUCAUACAGCCAAAGGAACAGGUCUUGAGCUCAGUCUCAUUCAGCCAUGCCAGGUCACUGC
rnacentral:lncRNA from 1 species